rnacentral:rRNA from 1 species
GACAGCAGCAGCCACGGGAAUACAGAGGGUGCGAGCGUUAAUCGGAUUUACUGGGCGUAAAGCGUGCGUAGGCGGCUAAUUGAGUCGGAUGUGAAAUCCCCGAGCUUAACUUGGGAAUUGCAUUCGAUACUGGUUAGCUAGAGUGUGGGAGAGGAUGGUAGAAUUCCAGGUGUAGCGGUGAAAUGCGUAGAGAUCUGGAGGAAUACCGAUGGCGAAGGCAGCCAUCUGGCCUAAUACUGACGCUGAGGUACGAAAGCAUGGGGAGCAAACAGGAUUAGAUACCCCCGUAGUCCCUGUCUCUUAUAC